rnacentral:lncRNA from 10 species
GAGCUUGUUCUGUGCAAACUUCAGUUGGCCAUAUUGGUUCCAACCAAUUUCAGCCAGUUUUGUUAUUUUAUAAGCAGAGGGAGUUUUGGCAUUUCAGCAAGCUGAUUUUAUUUUUUAUAAUGUCAUCAUGUAAACUCAAGAAUUGGCUACUGGUUUCUUGACCUCUUUGGAGCACAGUUUCAAACGUGUCAGAGCCUAAAGAUCAGUGAAAAGGCUGCUCAAGAAGUGGGUGAAGCUGGCCUGGCCAUGCCUGUUGCAGCCCCUCUAUUCUUGGAGCCCUCUGCUAUCUGAGAAGGAGAAACCUAAGGCAGGAAGGAGCAGAAGGAAUUCUGUUUCCAAGAACCCAGUGAACUGGUGUAGAAAGCUCUUUCUGAAGAGCUGGUCCUGCCAGUCAGUCACAGAGAAGAUCCCCUUGUUGGUUCAGGAACGCGGAGAACAGCAUCAGGCUGAUGGCCAAGGAUGAUGAGACAGAAGGAGCAGCCAUCACGGAAAGAUUACAGCUGACCAUGGGUGGCUAAAACCCACAGAAAGUGAAGCUGUGGAUGACGGGACUGCUGUAUUGGGUGCCCGAGUGCUGUCACACUGAGGGCCUGAUACUUCAAAUUGAGAAAGAGCUUUCCUCAUAGUACCUAACUUGACCUCAUACUGUCUACAAGGCUUCAGGGUAAGGUAGGUAUUUUAUCUCCAUGGAUUCUGUAGGGUUUUGUUUGUUUUUUUGUUUUUUCCCAGAUCUGAUAAGUAGCAAAUCCAGGACUCAAAGCCCUCCCUAGAGGAUCCAGGGCACUUUUCCCCUGGCCACAGGCGCUCUUGCCUUUCCAGCAGAGGAGCUCCAAUUUGCGGAGGCCGUGAUUCCCCUGUAAUAACGAGCUUCUAAACAACGAACAGUGGUUUGUUUGGUUUGUUUUCAUUCCAUCUACUGGAAUCAGCCAGGUAGUAUUGAAGCCCAGAAGCCUCGCUACUGUGUGCUAUCAAUUUGUUCAAUGAUUAUUCGAGGAGCAGGUGAUUUCCAUUAGAUGGUCCAUUAAAGGGGGAUGUGUGUCUUUCAAACUGGAAACUCUCAGCAAACAGAGAAGCAGAACUGGCUGCUCUGCCUCCCUAGGAGCCACUGUCCCCAGGCUCACCUUGGGUGGGAAGGAUAACAAUGUGGUUAUCUGGGUGUUGUGUGGUCAGGCCGGGUACUAGACUCUGAACAUAUCCACUGCCAACUGUUACCUUACCCAGCAGUGAGAAGGAUAUGAGAUGGGUCAGGGAGGGAAAAUGACAACCAGUGUGUGACAGACAGGUUUAGAAGAAGACUCCAGAAACCAAAAGAGCUCCCAGAAGCUUAUUUUCUAGCUGGAGAAGGGGUUAGGGAGAACUCACAAAGCCAAGAAGAAAGUCCUAGAUGAUCCUUCUAACAUCACCAUGAUCUUUCUGGGGAAAAUGAGUUAAUUAACUUCUACCUUUCUGUGUUUUUGUUUUGUAUGGGCAUAUUAAAUGGGGAAAAUUGUUAAGACUCUCACACUUAUGUCUUGAUUUCUGUGUUAGACCUUGAUAACCUAUGACUGAGAUCAUCUUGUAACAUGGUCUUUCCUGCAAGAAAAGCCCAUGCUCAGGACGACAUUUUGAGUGGAGAUGCAAUAAACGAGUUUAUUUUUUAAUUCUUUCACUAAGUUUACUAAUCCAAGGAUGGUGAUCCAGGACAAGGAUGAACUUUGCAAACCUAAAUCCUCUCUGGAUUUUCACACGUUACCUGUGUUACACGCAACCACCCUGCCUAGUUAUACUAAUGAGAUUCAUAUCCAUAGCCCCGAACACUUGUCCUUCCAGUUUCAUUGAGGUGAGCACCAAGGUAAUUGCCAGGAAAGUCGUCAAGGGCUCUCCUGUAUCUCAUUGUUAAUCAGGACUGCAUUUCUUUCCCCCUAUUCUGAUCAGGGACUGCAAAGACGUGAUUUCUGAAGGGUUUAUUUGGCAUACCCCUGGGGGAAAAAGAAAAAAAAAAACCACACAACUUUUCCUUAUAAAGGGGGGUGGAAGUGAUGGAAGUUGUGGGGGGGGUGUUGGCAGUUCCCUAAGAGCAAAAGUUAGACAGUAUUGCCCUCUGGUGGCAAAAUUUCCCAAGAGCGACCUUUGCUUUGAAGGAACUGCAAUGACACUGGCUCAUCAGGGACUGGACACAGGGCGCGCGGGACACAGCAUACGUGCAUGCGGAGAGGAAGGGGUCACUUGCUCAGAGUUGGCCAUUCCAUAGAGAGUUGCUACCUUGACAAGCAAAUAAAAUCUUGCCACCAAAUUGCUGUGCUUUCUCCUUUCACUGUCUCUCCUAGCCACAAAGGAUUUGAUCUUUAUCUCAUCUGUAGUACUCCCUUUUCUCCCAUCAGUUCAAUGCUUGUUAGAAAUGAGAUUAGAAGAUAUUUUAAAACUCAGAGGAUUUGCCAAAUCAAAGGUUUUGCCAAAUAAGCUUACCAUUCAUCCUUAUGACUGCUUGCCAUCAUAGGGUUUUCUUUUUUUCUCUGAAAUACUAUGUGUGUGGAUGAAUUGGGGUAGCUCUGCUUUCGCAGUUUGAAGAACAAAUUCUUCUGCCUGGGUCUCAGUUUCCUCCUUUUUAAAUAGAAUGAACAGGAUUAAGUGCUAAACAGAUUUAAUGCUCAAUGACUCUUGUACCCCAAUACUUAUCUAUAUAGUUUUUGCAUUUUAUAUUCCAAAGACCCAUACUUCAAGGACAUGCUGAAAAAAGAAAAUACAUGUAUUAAUGCAAACAGCUCCACAUGAAGGGCAUUGCAUAGAAAGGCAGCUUUUAGACAAAUGCAAUUAAAAUUACAAUACUGAUGAAGAAACUCAGAAAUACCAAUAAGGAAGGCAACAUUACCCUUUGAUGGGAGAAAGAACAAAGCUGGGUGAAUAAGUAAAGCUCUGCAUAAGAAUAUGUUAAUCAUGUAAAUUUGC